rnacentral:rRNA from 1 species
AGUCGACGAUUAAGCUCUCUUCGGAGAGUGUAUAGAGUGGCGCACGGGGUGAGUAACACGUAAGUAAUCUACCUUCGAGUGGGGAAUAACAGUCGGAAACGGCUGCUAAUACCGCAUAAUGCAGCGGCAUCGCAAGAUGACAGUUGUUAAAGGAGCAAUCCGCUUAAAGAGGAGCUUGCGGCAGAUUAGCUAGUUGGUAAGGUAAUGGCUUACCAAGGCUACGAUCUGUAUCCGGUCUAAGAGGACGGUCGGACACACUGACACUGAAUAACGGGUCAGACUCCUACGGGAGGCAGCAGUCGGGAAUUUUGGGCAAUGGGCGAAAGCCUGACCCAGCAACGCCGCGUGAAGGAUGAAGUAUUUCGGUAUGUAAACUUCGAAAGAAUAGGAAGAAUAAAUGACGGUACUAUUUAUAAGGUCCGGCUAACUACGUGCCAGCAGCCGCGGUAAUACGUAGGGACCAAGCGUUGUUCGGAUUUACUGGGCGUAAAGGGCGCGUAGGCGGCUUGACAAGUCACUUGUGAAAUCUCCGGGCUUAACUCGGAACGGCCAAGUGAAACUGUCAUGCUAGAGUGCAGAAGGGGCAAUCGGAAUUCUUGGUGUAGCGGUGAAAUGCGUAGAUAUCAAGAGGAACACCUGAGGUGAAGACGGGUUGCUGGGCUGACACUGACGCUGAGGCGCGAAAGCCAGGGGAGCAAACGGGAUUAGAUACCCCGGUAGUCCUGGCCCUAAACGAUGAAUACUUGGUGUCUGGAGUUAUUAUUGCUCUGGGUGCCGUCGCUAACGUUUUAAGUAUUCCGCCU